AUGAAAUUGCUUGGGUUUGUUGUUGUUGUUAAAGGCAAGAAAACUUAAGCCAGAGCAGACUCAGAAAAGAACUUGCUGGGGGAUUUGAAAUCUAGUUGUCGCCCCCAGAAACCCGAUAAAGCCCCAUCUCUGAGUUUUGAGGGUGCAUGGGGAAGUGUGUCUUCAGUGGCAGGAAGAAGUGGCCCUUCCAAGAAUUGAGCUUUUGAGCUGAAACGGCCGCCAGUGGGGGAAAAACAAAAGCAAAAAGACUCUGCUUUCCAGUUCCAGCUGACGGUGACUUUUUGACUGAUAUCCAUAAAAGAAUUCAUUCAAAAGCGCGCUUGUUCUCAGCGGCCCGUGAGGUCCCUGGUGAAUUCAUCAUCUAGGGAAGGGGAGGCAUACCUAAAGAAAUGCCAAAAAGGGAGGGAAAAAGGGAAAGAAAAUGAAGUUAUUGGGGUUUGAUUGCAUCCCCCUGCUCUUUAAGCAAAUUAUCCGGGAUUUCAACACACACACACACACACACACACACACACACACACACACACACGCACUGGGGCUGGGCUGCCCUGGGCUGCUUGCAAGCAGUCCAGAUAGCAAUGGGGCCCCAUUAAAUCAGACUCCAAGAGACUGGAAUCUGUGUCCUGCUGGCUCCUUCUCGCACCCAGACCCGACAAAUGUCAUUUCUUGUGUCAAACAGUCCCCACGUGGAUCUUAGAACAUAAAAAAGAAAAGCAGCUAGCUUUUCCUACCUUAGAGAAAAUUUUGCAGAGGAAAAAUGACUUCAAUUAAUAUAACUCACCCAAGUUGCAGACACAGGGCAAGCGCUCUGCAGAGUCGCAGGGAAGCUCAGCACUGGUUUUAACCAUCCUCCCAAUGUCCCUGUUUAAGCCUUCUUAAAAGGCGGUUCGCACGGUGGGUAGAAAUUGGGCUCCUCUGCAGUCUGGAUCUUCCUCACUUGAUCAGUGAACACACAGUGGGCACUGGCCCACUGGAAAUUAUGGGCUCCAUUAGGGAGAAAAGAAAUUACUUACCGAGCAGCAAAUUCUGUAAAUUUGUAAUUCAGAUCUUAGCGCUGGCCUGAAAGCCGGUUGGGAUCCAGCCCUUUGCAUAAAUUGGUGUUCUGGAGGGCUUAACCCUUGCGGCUCUGCUUCUGUCCCCCAGAAAGUGACUCACUUUAUCUUCUGCAUCCCCUGGUCCUUUAACUUGUCAUAGCAGACAGAGCAACCCGGGCAAUUCCAGAAAAGUAAGGAUAACAAUAAUAAUGCCUCACAUUCUGGCGCUUGGCAGUUUAUAGAGUGCUUUCUGAAUACAUUGUCUAAUUUCAAGCUGUAUACCUCUAACUGAACUUAAUUGCCACCUUUGUUAUACUUUAUUAUGAGGGCACUGGCAUGCACCUGUAUGCCUUCUCUCUCUCUCUCUCUCUCUCUCUC